GAACUAUAGAGUUUGAUCCUGGCUCAGAUUGAACGCUGGCGGCAUGCCUUACACAUGCAAGUCGAACGGCAGCACGGGAGCAAUCCUGGUGGCGAGUGGCGAA
rnacentral:rRNA from 1 species